UUUUUUCUUUUUUUUUCUUUUACAGCAGGUAUCAGUUGCAGAGAGCUUUUUGCUUAGGAGUAGAACUUUGUGUCUGCUUCCACUUCCCAAUUUUGCAGUUUGUGUGGUUUGAACCUGUGUUAUGCAUGCUGUCUCAGUCUCCUUGCAAGUAGCAAGGAAUUGAGUUUGGCCAGCCAGCCCGGUGUACAUAGCAAAGUUCAGCAAAGGACAUAUAGACUCUGUCACAAAAAAUCAAAAUGAGCCAUAGUAUAGACCAGAAAUAAACUAAGUGAACAGUGAGCCACCAAAAUUGAGAAGGUACUAAAGAACCAGGCUUGAUUUUUAUUGAAACAGUCACGUAGGCUGUAGCCUUAGAUCUCACAGCAGUCCUCCUGCCUAAGUUUCUCAGGCACUGUGCUUGGGUAUUUGGUUUGUUUUGUUUUUUAACAAAAGCUUGAAAAACAGUUAUACUGUCUUUAGUAAUAACUAAGUACUCAGUAUUAGAGUACAAUGGAAGACUAACUUAAAGCCUACGGGAAAAUAAUUGGGAUCCUCAAAAUUAAUUUUCUAAGGAAUUACUAAAAUACUUAAUUCUUAGGAAAAUACAUAUUAAUUUAGAGCCAGCCAUGGUGGUCCAUGGCUACAGUCACAGCUACUCAGAAGGCUAAAGCAGGAGGAAGGAUCACUAGAGCUUAAGGAACAUAGGAAGACUUUGUCUUAGAGGGUACAGAGGGAGUGACUUUUGUUUUGGGGUUGUUUGUUUGUUUAAACCUAGUUAGCUUUAAAAGAAAACAUAGAUAGUCAAAAGGCAAGAUGAUAGGGUUCUAGAGCAAGGGGGGUGGCAUAACUUGCACUGGAGGAAGGGGAUACCAACUAUAGCUGCAGAUAGCAUAGGAUGUGCUAUGUCAUAAGCCAGCAUAAGUAAUUGCUCAGUGAGUAUAUCAUGCUUAUACAUAAAUAGAAAUAGGUUUAAAUAUAAGUGUCUAGAAAUGGUAUGUUUACAAUAUGCCACACCAACAAGACCAGCAAACUUAGAGUAAUCCAUGGGAAAGGAAUUCUCCCAUCAAUGUAUAAAAAGGUGUUAUAUUUUUACCCCUAUUGGAACUUGUAAAUAAAAGGCCGAGAUGGUAACUACUUAUGAUAGAAUGACCAACAAUAAAGAUGACAUAAGUGGCUCUUCCAUAUGGCAGCCCCUGCUUUGGCAAGUGAGACUACUUGUUAAACCAGAAAGGUGUGUGAAAUCGGUAUAUUGACCUCUGGAGAGUCAGUAACUGAACACACUUUAAGGACAAAGGAGCUGGAGGGUCAGGUUCUUGGACUAACCUGCAGUGUUUUAUGUUUCUUACAGAUGUUCCCACAAGCCUGCACUUCCAGAGCAUGCUGAAGUCUCAGUGGCAAAACAAGCCUUUUGACAAGAUCAAACCUACCAAAAAGUUUUCUCUUAAGCACAGAGCGACCAUGCCAUGCAGUCUGUCAGAUCCAGUUCGUAAAGACAGACACAAGUUGGUCAACUCCUUCCUUACAACAGCCAGUAAGUUUCCAGGCACUGAGGAAUCCUCUGGAAUCACUAUUGCUACGAUUUUUACCUCUUAUAUUUUUUGGUUUUCUACACCAGUAUUCUGGAAUUGAGGAAAGCAUUGAGUUAUUUAAUUCAGCUCACAGCUUACUCCAUCUGAUUGUUUGGGGUGCUUUCUGAUAGACUUUGGAAGCUCAAACAGGCAGGACCUUAAAUGUUGAGUGAACAGCCAGCAGCAAUAUGAUGUGGGCAGGUUGACUUCUGAAGCCUAGUGUUAGCAUUUCUGUUUGUGACUCCCUCCCUGUCCCUGUCCUAGCUAUUGUACCAUUAACUAGAAUAUCGAGUCCCAGACUAUCCUGCUGCCCUGAGUAUAUAGCCUUAGGAGUACUGAAGAGCUCAGCACUCAAAUAAGAUUUGAGUAAAUGUAUUUCACAGCUCUUUUUUGUUCCCCUCUUCAGAGCUGUGCCAUCAGCAAACACGGCCUGACAGGACCCACAGGCAGCACUUAGACGGCGUGGGGGCUGUGCCCAUGGUGGAGCGAGUGACAGCUCCAAAAGCAGAGCGCUUGCUCCACCUGCCGCCACCUGUGCAUGACCCCACCCACAGCAAAAUGAGAUUGCGAGAUCAUUCAUCUGAGAGAAGUGAAGGUACGGCCAGGCCCGGCACCUCUACCUGCAUUGGUACUUGCUCAGAGCUUUCUGGGACAGCCCAAGCUUCUCUAAAACCCCUAACCCAAGCUUUGUCCAUCACUUGCUAGAAAGGCAUAGCAGGGUCACUGUUGCUUCUUCUAAAUGCAGGUCACUUCUUACUGCUACAAUAUCUGCCCUGUCCCCUAUUUCCCAUCAGCUAGUUUGCUGCAGCUUUUUUAUCCUCUAGGCUUAAAAAAGCACUUUUUGCCUUUAGUGUAUAUUGCUGGCCUUCCUAACAUAUGUCAGAAGUCGAACUGGCUAGCCAUUUAGCCAUGUAUUUCUCUCUUUUCUGUUGACUUUUGCAGUGUUGAAGCAUCACACAGACAUGAGCAGUCCGAGCUACUUGACAGCUACCCACCAUCCACCCCACAGCCCCCUGGUGAGACAGCUCUCCACCUCAUCAGACACCUCCACACCCACCAGCUCGGGCUCACAAGUUGCAGCCAGCACAUCUGUAAGUACCUAUGUGGAGUUGAUAGGACAUUCUCCAGAUUACAGGGCACUCAUAAUAGUUCUAGAGACCAAUGUAGAUACUUGAUCCUCUGCUAAGUUUUCUUAUGGUUGCUUUUUAUAGUAAAAGUGGAUCUCUGCUAAGUCAUGGGUAGACAGUUGCUGUAGCAGCAAGGGUGUGUGGUGGCGGUGGUGGUCUUGUUACUGAUAAUGAUGAUAAUACUUUGAUGGGUUUAGUUGGCUGAUUUUUGAGCAGGAAAGUACUAGGACUUUAUCCAUAGUUGGCAUGGUCUGACCUACAACACACUGUCUAGAGACAGGUUUUCUGAAGGUGCUUUUUGACUCUUUGGAAUCUGUUUUCACCCAGAACUUGUAUACCAUGGCACCCUAAUCUUUUUAGCACAAGAAGUAAACAUGAGAAGAAGAAUGAAGGAGAGCUAUUUUUAGACAUUUAAGGCUACAAUUUUCUUGUUUCUGCUAUUGAUGAAUGGCAGUGGGAUGCUAAGAAUGAAUGAGGGAGACGGUAGAAUCAACGCUUUUUCCGUGUGUACAGAGCAGAAAUAUGCAGCAGGCUACUGUGGCCAUAUUUACUCUUAGUGUGUGCAUAGGGGGAGCCAUUUAAGGCAUACUCACUACUUUCUACACUAUCAAACCCCAUUCUGGAAGUUAUUUGGAUAACCAUUCCAAACAUUGCCUAGUUAAACACAAACCUAUAGCCGGGUAUACUUAUCCAACCAUCCUUUAUGGUAAUUACAAUAACAAGUGUAACUGUACUUGUAAUAAUAAAAUCUGUUGCUGUGAUAUUUUUUAAACACUUGCACUACAGGUCUUGAUGGUACAGGUCUGUAAUUCUAAAACUUGGGAGGCUGAGGC
rnacentral:lncRNA from 1 species